rnacentral:rRNA from 1 species
AGAGACAGUGGUUUCUUAGAAGCAUUGGAGAUAGCCAAAGAAAUUGCACUUGAGAUGUAUAUUGAUGCAAAAUUUCGUAAAAGAAGAUAAAUUAAAAGAAGGAAACAGUUUGAUGAGAACCCAGAAGACACAAAUAUUGCCACACAGUCUGCAGAGGAAUCAUUUAGAGUCAACUAUUUUCUAUGUGUUGUUGAUCAAGCAAUUUCCUCACCCACAAGGAGAUUUGAGCAAUAUGAAGGUUGCCAAAAAUAUAUUUGGUUUCUUAUUCACCUCUGA